GAUGAACGCUGGCGGCGUGCCUAAUACAUGCAAGUCGAGCGAACGGACGAGAAGCUUGCUUCUCUGAUGUUAGCGGCGGACGGGUGAGUAACACGUGGAUAACCUACCUAUAAGACUGGGAUAACUUCGGGAAACCGGAGCUAAUACCGGAUGAUAUUUUGAACCGCAUGGUUCAAAAGUGAAAGACGGUCUUGCUGUCACUUAUAGAUGGAUCCGCGCUGCAUUAGCUAGUUGGUAAGGUAACGGCUUACCAAGGCAACGAUGCAUAGCCGACCUGAGAGGGUGAUCGGCCACACUGGAACUGAGACACGGUCCAGACUCCUACGGGAGGCAGCAGUAGGGAAUCUUCCGCAAUGGGCGAAAGCCUGACGGAGCAACGCCGCGUGAGUGAUGAAGGUCUUCGGAUCGUAAAACUCUGUUAUUAGGGAAGAACAUAUGUGUAAGUAACUGUGCACAUCUUGACGGUACCUAAUCAGAAAGCCACGGCUAACUACGUGCCAGCAGCCGCGGUAAUACGUAGGUGGCAAGCGUUAUCCGGAAUUAUUGGGCGUAAAGCGCGCGUAGGCGGUUUUUUAAGUCUGAUGUGAAAGCCCACGGCUCAACCGUGGAGGGUCAUUGGAAACUGGAAAACUUGAGUGCAGAAGAGGAAAGUGGAAUUCCAUGUGUAGCGGUGAAAUGCGCAGAGAUAUGGAGGAACACCAGUGGCGAAGGCGACUUUCUGGUCUGUAACUGACGCUGAUGUGCGAAAGCGUGGGGAUCAAACAGGAUUAGAUACCCUGGUAGUCCACGCCGUAAACGAUGAGUGCUAAGUGUUAGGGGGUUUCCGCCCCUUAGUGCUGCAGCUAACGCAUUAAGCACUCCGCCUGGGGAGUACGACCGCAAGGUUGAAACUCAAAGGAAUUGACGGGGGCCCGCACAAGCGGUGGAGCAUGUGGUUUAAUUCGAAGCAACGCGAAGAACCUUACCAAAUCUUGACAUCCUUUGACAACUCUAGAGAUAGAGCCUUCCCCUUCGGGGGACAAAGUGACAGGUGGUGCAUGGUUGUCGUCAGCUCGUGUCGUGAGAUGUUGGGUUAAGUCCCGCAACGAGCGCAACCCUUAAGCUUAGUUGCCAUCAUUAAGUUGGGCACUCUAAGUUGACUGCCGGUGACAAACCGGAGGAAGGUGGGGAUGACGUCAAAUCAUCAUGCCCCUUAUGAUUUGGGCUACACACGUGCUACAAUGGACAAUACAAAGGGCAGCGAAACCGCGAGGUCAAGCAAAUCCCAUAAAGUUGUUCUCAGUUCGGAUUGUAGUCUGCAACUCGACUACAUGAAGCUGGAAUCGCUAGUAAUCGUAGAUCAGCAUGCUACGGUGAAUACGUUCCCGGGUCU
rnacentral:rRNA from 1 species